rnacentral:rRNA from 1 species
AGAAUUCCCCUGUCUCUAUAAAGCCAAUGAAAAUUAAUCUUCAGGUGAAGAAGCCUGAAUCUCAUUAAAAGACAAAAAGACCCUAUUGAGCUUACAUUCAAUCUCUAAAAUAUUAAAAUAAAAUAAAACUACCCUUUUUACAAGAAUUUUGCUGGGGCGGCAAAGGAACAACCAAAAAUUCCUUUUCUCAAAGACUUAUAAGUCUAUUAACUGAUCCGUAUUAACGAUUAACAAAACUAGUUACCAUAGGGAUAACAGGCUAAUUUUUCUCUAAAGCUCACAUUAACAGAAAAGAUUGGCACCUCGAUGUUGGCUUAGGAUAUCCUAAGGGCGCAGAAGCCUUUUAAGGUGGGUUUGUUCAACCUUUAAAAUCCUACGUGAUCUGAGUUCAGACCGG